rnacentral:rRNA from 1 species
AAUGGGCGAAAGCCUGACGGAGCAACGCCGCGUGAGGGAUGAAGGCCUCUGGGCUGUAAACCUCUUUUAUCAAGGAAGAAGAUCUGAUGGUACUUGAUGAAUAAGCCACGGCUAAUUCCGUGCCAGCAGCCGCGGUAAUACGGGAGUGGCAAGCGUUAUCCGGAAUUAUUGGGCGUAAAGCGUCCGCAGGCGGCCCUUCAAGUCUGCUGUUAAAAAGUGGAGCUUAACUCCAUCAUGGCAGUGGAAACUGUUGGGCUUGAGUGUGGUAGGGGCAGAGGGAAUUCCCGGUGUAGCGGUGAAAUGCGUAGAUAUCGGGAAGAACACCAGUGGCGAAGGCGCUCUGCUGGGCCAUCACUGACGCUCAUGGACGAAAGCCAGGGGAGCGAAAGGGAUU